GGGUAGUUAGCUCUGUAAGUGGUCAAUAACAGUUAUUUUUGUAACUUUCCCUCUACACCAAUACAGUGACUUUUAACCAUCAAGAUGUGAUUAAAGUGCAGACUUUAAUUCAUGAUGUUCAAAAACAGCAGUGCAUUAGCGGUUUAUGGAUUACAGCCAUGUUUUAUACAUAGUCCCCUGUUUUCAGGGUAAUUAGAAAAUUAACUGUCAAGCAAUUUCACAGCCAGGCAAGGCCUGUUUGUUUUCAUUAUCCACUGGCAAGUUAAGCAGAUAAAAGGUCUGGAUUUUUUUUCCAAGGGUUGAACUCUCAUUUGGUAGCUGUUCACUAGAACUUAGACCAACAUGUCUUUGAACCUUACUAUGUGAAGGAGGCAAUCAUGACACUGAAAAAGCACAAUAAAGUUAAAUACAAGUAAAAUGCAGGACUGACCAAUCUGAUGCAUUAAAAAUGAAUGCACUGGCAAACUCCACAACAACAAAAGUGCCACAGAAAACAACUAAAGUGGAUGACCCCGAAUCAUUUGCUUAGUUAAGAAAAACCACGUCACAGCAUUUUGCCAAGUGACGCUAUUGAGGAUGUAGCCGAGCCAUUGUUGAUGUCUACGAGAGAGGCCUUCAUGAAUGUAAAUAAAAAUGGUUUACAACAAGGUGCAAACUACUGGCUGCACUCAAAAAAAAGGCCAGAAUAGAUUUUACAAGAAAAAAAGACACUAAAAGAAACUGCAGUUUGGGAAAAAAACCAACUACGAAUGAUUAGAAGAGAUCUGAAGCAUACCAUGUCAUACGAUUGCUGUGGUGGACACAGUUUUGUGGCAUGGGUGGUGAUAGAACUGGGCCUACAGUGUUUAUUGAUGAUGUGACCGCUGAUAGGAGUAGUGGCAUGAAUUCUCAAUUGUUCACAGCUUUACUCUGUUCAGAUUCAGCCAAAUGCUGCAAAGCUGAUCACACAGACCCUCACAGUGCAAACAGAUAAUGAUACGAAGAUUACUACAAAAUAAACCCAAAAGCUACCAAAGAAGUGUGAUAUUCUUAAAUGGCCAAGUCAGUCACUUCAUCUCAACCUAACAGGGCAAUGCAUUUCAGUUAUUGAAGACACAAAGUGAAUACAGCAAGACCCCGAAACAAGCAGCCGUAAAGACCUGGCAGGGUGUCUCAAGUAGAGAAACACGGCAUUUGGUGACGUCUGUGUCUAACAGUAACUUUGUGUACAUUUAGAUAGAUUGAUACAUAGAAGUGCAUCAUAUUUGCAUAAACUCAUAAUGAUUAAAGUUAUGACAAAAUAAAAGAAAAUAUAAAAAAGAAAAAUGUGAGAAUUCAAGGACGACAGCAAUUCAAGGCACACAAAAAGUAUUCAUCCCCAAAAAUCCAGUAAAGUGCGUUUGGUUUAACAGACGUAAAUUGAAGCCAAAGGCAAUAGCCCCACCUGCUGGCAGUACAAAUCACUACACCCUUAUGAGACGCGUGUUCGUCACCGCCAUAUUGCAGCGGUGUUUCUGAGCAGCUCAAACUGAAUGACCAGAGACGGUAACAUUUAUCAUUGCAAACAAGGAGGCGAUUUUGCUUGAAAUGUGGAACCGCGAGACUUCCUAAAGUUUUAUGUGGUAUUUGGUGUUCGUUACAGUCAUGUGUGCGCAGACAAGACUUUCCCGCACCAAUAUGGCUGCGACUAUGCAUAUGCACUAUCGUUAAGAAAUGUAAAUAGCAAAAUAUAUUAAACUCUGCUGAAUAUAUUACAUUGUUUCAUUAUUUUUCGUAAUUAUUUUCCAAGUUUUUUGUGGUGUGCUAUUAUUUGUUCUUAAAAAAAAAACCGUCAGCGAACGUAACGUCCUGUGAUUGGGCUGCAGGACCAUCUUCCACUCGCUGAGUGACUGUUAGAGGGCGUGCUUUUGCUUUUGCAACGCUCACACUGCAGCUACGUAACCUGUAAUGUCAGCGGCUGGAUUUUGAUAGAACAUUUUAAUUUAACAGGAUAAACCAGAUUUUUGUAAGAUCAAAGUAACUGAAAGGUGGGAUAACUGGAGUUUUUAUCAGUAGCUACUUUCAGCUUCAGUCAAAUUUAGCAUUUGCCUAAAGCCUAGAGCCUUUUUGGCUCUUACAAUAUGAAAGACCCUGCCAUCCCUGUUUUGUGGGAAACUCAGACUGUUGCAGAUAUUUAUCCGCAUUCAUCUGAACAGCUGCUUUCUUCUCUGCCUUAGAUAAGACCAAACUGUUGCAUUAGCAAAAGUGGUCCUUGAGAGGCCUUCCUUUUUCCAUUUAUCAAGGACAGCUGACCGCAGCUUUUCACAUAACAUGCUCUCUGGUCUCAGAGAGGUGCCAUUACGUACUUGUUUUUGUUAAGUCAGUGGUUAAGUGGUGUGAUACACAAUGUGUGUUUACUUAUUAUCUGAUAGUAUUGGUCUGAGUAGCCAAGAGCAGGCUGUACUCUCUUACUUUAUGGAAUGUGUAUAUAUAUAUAUCAUGGUUACCCUCCUGCAUUUCCCCAAGGGUUUUAAUAUUUCUUUUUCGCCUCGUCUUUUAGACUCCCUCAUAUGGAUGCAGUAAUCUGCUGAUAGCCCUUUCUUAAAUUUUGGGCCCAAUGUUUUCUUCCACUUGUGUGGGAGGUCAUCACUGGUGAGUUAUGCACAAAAGUGCCCAGUGAUGACUGACAUGGCCUCCAGUCCUCUGUCCAGAGCUGUGCCCUCUUCAACUUUCAUGUGUGUUCAGUGAUCUGAUUGUAAUAAAAAUUUUGACUCCAGAUCCGAAAUGUAAAUUGAAGUUGCCCACAGGACACUUUACUCCCCCAGCUGUUCAGGCUGUGAGCUCUAAAUGCCCUUUUCUGGCUGCAGAGAUGGUGCAGAAAAACAAUAGGCUAGCAAGAGAGGCCAGAAUGGAGCUGCAGGAGGAUGUUCAAGAGAUUCAGUGUUACCGCACAGGUAGACCGUCACAUAAAUAACCUAUACUUAUACCACAAAAAAACAAAUUAUGUAACCCGUGAAAGGUCAUUGUUUUGAGUAUGCACAGUUUAGUGACAGUUCAAGUGCAUACCCGAGGAAUGUCAUGCAUUUGAAGACUGCUGAAUGGGCCACAUUUGAAUAAGAAAAAUGAGCAUGAAGUUAUCAGUUGUGGAUCUUAUCGGGGCAUACGAGGCCAAUGCAGUGGAGCCAGAAAAACCCUUAUCUUCCAGUGUCACACCUGCUGAAGGAUAAGCUACCUGGAUGUAAGCUGAUUCUUCUAUUGCGCAAUUAUUUUCAAAAGUAAUAAAACUGAUUUGAAGUUUAAAACCCUUCUUCCACAAUUCUUUUUUGGCUGUUGCAUUCCAAUAUGAAAAGUUUUUUAAAAAGAAGAUGUAAAGCAAAAAAAAAAAAAACCUAAAAAAACAAAUCCACACAUAUAGAGUUUUUAAGAUGAGCCUCCUCGUUUCCUAUAGCAGAAAACUACUCAACGUUUUUCACACAAAGAGAGAUGUUCCUGUGUGGUGCAGCAACAACUACCUAGGCAUGAGCCAUCACCCAAAGUCAUCAAGGCUAUCGUGUGAGUAUUCACGCGGAUCAUCUGUAGCUCUUGUUACUUUUGUUUAGACCAAAUAUGAUGGAGAAAAAUAAUUCAGGGUUCAGGACAGUAAACUCUCUCUGUUUCUGUUCUGGAGAUAUGCUGUACAAAAUCAUGGUGCUAGUGCAGGGGAAGCACCAAACAUUUCAAUAACAAGCAACUUCCAUGUGGAUCUUCAUUAUGAACUACCUGACCUGCCUGGGAAGGAUGCAGCACCGCUGUUCACUUUCUGCUUUGUAGCCAAUGACUCUACAUAGUUUACCCUGUCAAAGAUGCUACCAGCUACUUCAGUUUUUGGCUUAAACUAAUGUAAUAAGCGACCUAAAGUUGAAUGUCUUUGAAUGGUUACACAUUUUCUUAUUUUGAUUGAAAUGUAUUUGAGAGAUUUUUUUCUUUCUUUUGUUUAUUCUGAGAGGUUGUGAAAUUUACUCGGAAGCCGGAAACCAUGCGUCAGUGAUUCAGGGUUUAAGUAACAGCGGGGCUAAAAAGUUUAUAUCGUCACAAUGACGCCAACCGCCUACAAGAGCUACUUGAGAAAUCGGACCCCUCCACUUCAAAAAUCAUUGCCUUUGAGGCUGUCCAUUCAAUGGAUGGAGCAGUGUGCCUACUUGAAGGGAUGUGCAAUGUUGCCCACAAGUUUGGUGCUAUUACAUUUGUGGAUGAAUUGCAUGAUAGAGGAUUAUAAGGCCCCAGAGGAGGAGGGAUUGAAGACAGAGAUAAAGUCAUGAAAAAAAUGGAUAUCAUCUCUGGUACACUUUGUAAGUGGAUGCCUCAUCAGUGAGAGCAAACAUUUUCUGACAACUGCUGCAUAGGUUUUAUAGAGGAUUUAAUUUCCAGCUAAGGCAAUCAGCUGUUUUGGGGGCUAUAUUGCCAGCAGCAACCCCUGGUGGACACAGUGCCCUGCUAUGCUGCAGGUUUCUUCUCUACUGCGUCUCUGCCCCCCAUGCUGUUGGCAGGGGAAUACAUUAAGAUCCUGAAAAGUGAAGAAGGCCAUGUGCUCAGAAGGAAACAUCAGAUGACUGUCAAGCUGCUUCGACAGAUGCUGAUGGAUUCUGGCUUUCCUGUGGUUUACUGCCCAAACCACAUUAUUCCUGUCCAAAUCGGCUGGUGAAACGUCAAAGGAAGUGGGUUUGGACCUGAGGUCGCCCUCCUUAGCAGAGUGCAACUUCUGCCAGCAACUUCUUCGCUUUGAAAGAUGAGUGUGAGAGAGAAGUCUGUCUUCACAGGCCUCAGUCCCAUGAGAUCAGCAGUUGCCUGACAUCACCAAAAGCACCGAAUUCUCAUGAUAUUAAAGCUGUGUUUUUUAUUUUAAAUAAACAUGUGUGGUUAAAGCA